rnacentral:tRNA from 1 species
AUUUAUAGCUCAGUAGGAUAGAGCGCUCCCCUCCUAAGGGAGAGGUCGGGGGUUCGAUUCCCUCUAAGUGC